rnacentral:rRNA from 1 species
CGAGGGGUAUAGUUCUUCGGAAUUAGAGACCGGCGCACGGGUGCGUAACGCGUAUGCAAUCUACCUUUCACAGAGGGAUAGCCCAGAGAAAUUUGGAUUAAUACCUCAUAGUAUAUCGAGUUGGCAUCAACAUGAUAUUAAAGUCACAACGGUGAAAGAUGAGCAUGCGUCCCAUUAGCUAGUUGGUAAGGUAACGGCUUACCAAGGCAACGAUGGGUAGGGGUCCUGAGAGGGAGAUCCCCCACACUGGUACUGAGACACGGACCAGACUCCUACGGGAGGCAGCAGUGAGGAAUAUUGGACAAUGGGCGCAAGCCUGAUCCAGCCAUGCCGCGUGCAGGAUGACGGUCCUAUGGAUUGUAAACUGCUUUUAUACGAGAAGAAACACCUCUACGUGUAGAGACUUGACGGUAUCGUAAGAAUAAGGAUCGGCUAACUCCGUGCCAGCAGCCGCGGUAAUACGGAGGAUCCAAGCGUUAUCCGGAAUCAUUGGGUUUAAAGGGUCCGUAGGCGGUCAGAUAAGUCAGUGGUGAAAGCCCAUCGCUCAACGGUGGAACGGCCAUUGAUACUGUCUGACUUGAAUUAUUAGGAAGUAACUAGAAUAUGUAGUGUAGCGGUGAAAUGCUUAGAGAUUACAUGGAAUACCAAUUGCGAAGGCAGGUUACUACUAAUAUAUUGACGCUGAUGGACGAAAGCGUGGGUAGCGAACAGGAUUAGAUACCCUGGUAGUCCACGCCGUAAACGAUGGAUACUAGCUGUUGGGAGCAAUCUCAGUGGCUAAGCGAAAGUGAUAAGUAUCCCACCUGGGGAGUACGUUCGCAAGAAUGAAACUCAAAGGAAUUGACGGGGGCCCGCACAAGCGGUGGAGCAUGUGGUUUAAUUCGAUGAUACGCGAGGAACCUUACCAAGGCUUAAAUGUAGAUUGACCGGUUUGGAAACAGACUUUUCGCAAGACAAUUUACAAGGUGCUGCAUGGUUGUCGUCAGCUCGUGCCGUGAGGUGUCAGGUUAAGUCCUAUAACGAGCGCAACCCCUGUUGUUAGUUGCCAGC